GGCGUUAAGUUGCAGGGUAUAGACCCGAAACCCGGUGAUCUAGCCAUGGGCAGGUUGAAGGUUGGGUAACACUAACUGGAGGACCGAACCGACUAAUGUUGAAAAAUUAGCGGAUGACCUGUGGCUGGGGGUGAAAGGCCAAUCAAACCGGGAGAUAGCUGGUUCUCCCCGAAAGCUAUUUAGGUAGCGCCUCGUGAAUUCAUCUCCGGGGGUAGAGCACUGUUUCGGCUAGGGGGCCAUCCCGGCUUACCAACCCGAUGCAAACUGCGAAUACCGGAGAAUGUUAUCACGGGAGACACACGGCGGGUGCUAACGUCCGUCGUGAAGAGGGAAACAACCCAGACCGCCAGCUAAGGUCCCAAAGUCAUGGUUAAGUGGGAAACGAUGUGGGAAGGCCCAGACAGCCAGGAUGUUGGCUUAGAAGCAGCCAUCAUUUAAAGAAAGCGUAAUAGCUCACUGGUCGAGUCGGCCUGCGCGGAAGAUGUAACGGGGCUAAACCAUGCACCGAAGCUGCGGCAGCGAACGUAUCACUUAAAGCGAUUCAGCGGGUUACGAUUGACGGAGCGAAGCGACGUCAAAGCGUAUACAAAGUCGAGUCGGUUUAAGGAUACGUUCGUUGGGUAGGGGAGCGUUCUGUAAGCCUGUGAAGGUGUGUCGUGAGGCAUGCUGGAGGUAUCAGAAGUGCGAAUGCUGACAUAAGUAACGAUAAAGCGGGUGAAAAGCCCGCUCGCCGGAAGACCAAGGGUUCCUGUCCAACGUUAAUCGGGGCAGGGUGAGUCGACCCCUAAGGCGAGGCCGAAAGGCGUAGUCGAUGGGAAACGGGUUAAUAUUCCCGUACUUGGUGUUACUGCGAAGGGGGGACGGAGAAGGCUAUGUUGGCCGGGCGACGGUUGUCCCGGUUUAAGCGUGUAGGUGUGUGUUCCAGGUAAAUCCGGUUCACUUUAACACUGAGGCGUGACGACGAGGCACUACGGUGCUGAAGCAACAAAUGCCCUGCUUCCAGGAAAAGCCUCUAAGCAUCAGGUAACAUCAAAUCGUACCCCAAACCGACACAGGUGGUCAGGUAGAGAAUACCAAGGCGCUUGAGAGAACUCGGGUGAAGGAACUAGGCAAAAUGGUGCCGUAACUUCGGGAGAAGGCACGCUGACACGUAGGUGAAGUGAUUUACUCAUGGAGCUGAAGUCAGUCGAAGAUACCAGCUGGCUGCAACUGUUUAUUAAAAACACAGCACUGUGCAAACACGAAAGUGGACGUAUACGGUGUGACGCCUGCCCGGUGCCGGAAGGUUAAUUGAUGGGGUCAGCGCAAGCGAAGCUCCUGAUCGAAGCCCCGGUAAACGGCGGCCGUAACUAUAACGGUCCUAAGGUAGCGAAAUUCCUUGUCGGGUAAGUUCCGACCUGCACGAAUGGCGUAAUGAUGGCCAGGCUGUCUCCACCCGAGACUCAGUGAAAUUGAACUCGCUGUGAAGAUGCAGUGUACCCGCGGCAAGACGGAAAGACCCCGUGAACCUUUACUAUAGCUUGACACUGAACAUUGAGCCUUGAUGUGUAGGAUAGGUGGGAGGCUUUGAAGUGUGGACGCCAGUCUGCAUGGAGCCGACCUUGAAAUACCACCCUUUAAUGUUUGAUGUUCUAACGUGGACCCGUGAUCCGGGUUGCGGACAGUGUCUGGUGGGUAGUUUGACUGGGGCGGUCUCCUCCUAAAGAGUAACGGAGGAGCACGAAGGUUGGCUAAUCCUGGUCGGACAUCAGGAGGUUAGUGCAAUGGCAUAAGCCAGCUUGACUGCGAGCGUGACGGCGCGAGCAGGUGCGAAAGCAGGUCAUAGUGAUCCGGUGGUUCUGAAUGGAAGGGCCAUCGCUCAACGGAUAAAAGGUACUCCGGGGAUAACAGGCUGAUACCGCCCAAGAGUUCAUAUCGACGGCGGUGUUUGGCACCUCGAUGUCGGCUCAUCACAUCCUGGGGCUGAAGUAGGUCCCAAGGGUAUGGCUGUUCGCCAUUUAAAGUGGUACGCGAGCUGGGUUUAGAACGUCGUGAGACAGUUCGGUCCCUAUCUGCCGUGGGCGCUGGAGAACUGAGGGGGGCUGCUCCUAGUACGAGAGGACCGGAGUGGACGCAUCACUGGUGUUCGGGUUGUCAUGCCAAUGGCACUGCCCGGUAGCUAAAUGCGGAAGAGAUAAGUGCUGAAAGCAUCUAAGCACGAAACUUGCCCCGAG
rnacentral:rRNA from 1 species